rnacentral:rRNA from 1 species
AUGGUGCCACGAAGGAAGUUCUUUGCCGCCGAGAAGGGGAAGGCCCCUCGCGAGGGCCCCGGUUCCACGGCGCCCAAGCGCGGUCACGGCCGUCCGUGCAAGCACGCCGCGACCCCCGCCAUGGCCCACCGUCGAGGCGGCGCCGCGGCACGCGGAGGGGAUCGUCCCAACCAUGGCGGUCCAGCUGACGAGGGGAGGCGCGCAAUGGUGGCGCGGCCUCCCCGCCCGCGCUUCCAUUCAGCGGAGGUGUCGCCGGAGUUCGUCGUCUGGCCGGAGAACCCAGCCGGCAACUGGCUCCAGCUUCCGUGCUCCUUUGUCGGUGAACUGCCGGCCCCUGGUGCAGGCAGGCUCUGGUUGCAAGCGGAUGGUUGCUGCAGCAAGGCCUCUUGGGUCGUGGUCGAAACUUCCGCCGCAGGCAACAUAGCCCUGGCACACGGCUGGCAGACGUUCGCCCGCGCGCGCGGCCUGGGCAAGCGGUGCACGCUCCACUUCAAGUAUGACGGUGGAUCGACCCUCUAUGUGAGGGCGUUUGGGGAAGAUGGUCACUGUGCCGGGUGCUGCCCCGAGACGAACAACUGCGAGGAGGUGCUCGGCCUUGGUGACGGUCGCAACGAGGAUGAGGGCGAGCAUGCCCUUGACGGCGACAGUGUCCCUUCCAGCUACAGCGGUUCUUCCUCUGGCGACAGCUCCAACAGCGGUGGCUAUGACCAGCCACCGCGCUCGCUUCGAAGGAGGCAGCGGGUCAUCUCGCCGCCGCGCCUCCGUGAAGCGCGAGGAGGGGUCUGGCUAGGCUUGGGGCGUUGCUAA